rnacentral:rRNA from 1 species
GACGAACGCUGGCGGCGUGCCUAAUACAUGCAAGUCGAACGCAGUGGGGACGGGUGAGUAACACGUGGGUAACCUCCCAUCAGAGGGGAUAACACUUGGAAACAGGUGCUAAACCGAUACUGAUGGAUGAACCCGCGGGGCAUUAGCUAGUGGGUGAGGUAACGGCUCACCAAGGCCACGAUGCAUAGCGGCCCGGAUAGGGGGAUGGGCAACACUGGAACUGGGACACGGCCAGGACUCCUACGGAAGGCAGCCGUAGGGAACCUUCGGCAAUGGACGAAAUUCUGACCGGGCAACGCCGCUUGAGUGAAGAAGGUUUUCGGAUCGUAAAACUCUGUUGUUAGAGAGGCGGUAUCUAACCAGAAAGCCACGGCUAACGACGUGCCAGCAGCCGCGGUAAUAC